UACGAGGGGUGCAAGCGUUGCUCGGAAUUAUUGGGCGUAAAGGGUAAGUAGGUGGUCUCAUUUGUCUGGGGUGAAAGCCUUGAGCUUAACUCAAGAAGUGCCCCAGAAACGGUGAGACUAGAGUCCUGGAGAGGGUCGUGGAAUUCCCGGUGUAGCGGUGAAAUGCGUUGAGAUCGGAAGGAACGCCCGUGGCGAAAGCGAGGUCCUGGACGUCUGCUGACGCUGAGACGCGAAAGCUAGGGUAGCGAACGGG
rnacentral:rRNA from 1 species